rnacentral:lncRNA from 1 species
UCACAUUUAUUUCAUAGUUCCAGCACCACAACUGUACAAACAAAAAUAUGGUUUAGAAAUUAGUCAAAAUGUCUGAAAAAAAGUUAGCUAGCUAUUAGCUUUUCGACCUUCAAUCACCUUCAAUCACGUGUACAACUGCAUCGUAGCCGCAUCAAAAAAUGUAUAAGACAAUUACGGCCAUAUUUGAUCAAAUCGAGAAAGAAUUCUCUCAGGUGAAAAAAAAUUAGGAAAUAAUAUGGCAUUUAGACCAUUGAAUUAUAAAUAUAGAACAAUAUUUAAAUUUUUAAAAAAUUGAGAAAAAAUAAUUACAAUAAUAGUUAAGAUAUGAAAAUUGAGAAAAAUUGAGAGAAAAAAAGAGAUCUACUUUUAACAAUGUCUCAAUCUACUUCACACACCACCUGAUCCGCAUUUAUAAAAGCGUGAAUAUAAAUAGUGGAUGACCCGAUAGCGGGUGGCCCAAUGGUUCUUGGAGAUACUCUAAUACCAUCUUAAAUUUGUAUAUUGAAUAUAACUCAUCCUUACAAAACCAGCUUAAGAUAAAAAUUGUCUCUUACUUAAUAAACCAUUGUCCAAGGUAACUCACAUCCGAUGUGAGACUUCUUAAUUAACUGUGUUACUUUUAAAAAUUUAAAAUUAUUUCACGCUACAAC